AAUACCGAACUUCUACGAGAUCGAAUCAGAAAACCACGAACUCGAUCAAAGCAUACACAAGAAAUUACAAGCGCAUCAAGAAUGAAGAAAUUUUUCGCAGUCCUUUGCAUUGCCCUUCUAGUUAUUUCCGUUGCAUCAGUCUGCAAACCACCAGGCGUAGUUUGCUCGAGUGACGCAGAUUGCUGUCCAACGUUGCAAUGCAACCCAUGGGCUGGCCGGUGCACUAAGAAACCCGGUCCACCAAGCUCUUCAAACCCACCCAGUGAUCCAGCCGAGCCACCUGCUGGUGAUGCCAUGUGAAUAAAUGAUUGAUCCAUAUUGAUUGUACUUCGUAGGCCUACGAAUUUCUUUAUAAUUUGCUUAUACGAAUAUAUGCAUUAUAUUUACAAUAUUAACGCAGCAUUUACAAUACACGAU